AGGUACUUAGGUUAUAACGAAAAACCAGGGACCUUCAAAGCCCCAAAAAGUGAUUGCCCACUAGCACCUG
rnacentral:tRNA from 1 species